CCAGAGCCCGACGCGGGGCUCGAACUCACGGACUGCGAGAUCGUGACCUGGCCGAAGUCGGACGCUUAACCGACUGCACCACCCAGACGCCCCUAAAUUGUAUGUUUUUUUUACCAUGUUUGGUCGUUGAUAUACUCAUUCCCAGUAGAAUCCUACACACAAUUACAAGCCAGUCUCCUUGUAGAUUGAGUUGUGAAAAAGACAGGAAGAGCAUCUGUUUCAGUAACAACUGAAAUAUGAAAAUACUUCUGGAGAAAGAUGAGCAUGUAAAAUACUUUCAGGUAAACACUAGAACAAUGAAUUGCAGAAGACAAAGGAAAACAAGCAAGAAGACAUGUCAGCUGAUCCUUAGAAAGUGUGCAGGUAGGAAGCAAACAGAUGUUUCGUUUCAUCAAGUUAAAUGUAUGUGGGGAGUCUUUAGAAGGUAGGUUGUUCUGGGGUGCCUGCGUGGCUCAGUCAGUUAAGCCUCUGACUUCAGCUCAGGUCAUGAUCUCACCAUUCGUGGCUUCGAGCCCCACAUCGGGCUCUGUGCUGACAGCUCAGAGCCUGGAGCCUGCUUCAGAUUCUGUGUCUCCCUCUCUCUCAGCCCCUUCCCCACUCAUACUCUAUCUCUCUCUCACAAAAAUAAAUAAACAUUAAAAAAAAAUUUUUUUUAGAAGGUAGUUUGUUCUAAGUCUUGAUGCCAGUUGGCUCUAUUAACAAGAAAUGGAUUUAGGGUCAUCUCCUACAUUUCCGAUUUUAUGAAGCAAUUUUAAGGAGGAGUCUUUCAUCAAACUUGGAGCAGCUAGAGUAGUAGCAUUUGGAAGUUAUUGAUUGUACUAUUAUUUAUAUCAGUAUAAUUUCACUUUUUUUUUUUAAUGUUUCUUCAUUUUUGAGAGAGACAGAGUGUGAGCAGGGGAGGGGCAGAGAGAAAGAGACACACAAUCCCAAGCAGGCUCCAGGCUCCAGCAGAGAGCCUGACGUGGAGCUCGAACUCACAACCGUGAGAUCAUGACCUGAGCUGCAGCCGGACGCUCAACCGACUGAGCCACUCAGGUGCCCCUCACAUAUAGUUUCUAAUAUUUUGCAUUAUAAUUCAAAACUGACAUUUAUUGUCUUAUUCAGAUUGUUCCAGCUUUGGCCAUUUGGCAUACUCGGAUAUGUAUAUACUUUUUAACUUUCUUACUUUCUGUCAGUACAAGAUACUCAUGUUCAUCUUAUAUAUGUUUUAUUAUUUUUUUUAAUAUGUAUAUAUUUAAAUGUUUAUUAUUUUGAGAGGGAGAGAGAGAAUCCCAAUCAGGCUUUAUGCCCAGUGUGGAGCCUGACACAGGAUUCGAUCUCACCUUCUGAGAUCAUGACUUGACCCGAAAUCAAGAGUCUGAUGUUCAGCCUCCUCAGUCACUCAGGCGUCCUUCUUUACUUUUGAACGGCUUAAAUAGUAUUGGUUUACCUAUGAACAUAACCUCCUCACUGUUAAGCCAUGUCAUCAGGGUACGUUUGUGUGUGUUUGUUGGGGGGGGGGGGGCUCUUUGAUAGAUUAUCCCUGUUUCUUCCAUCAAUAUUAUUCAGUUUAGAAUUUAUUCUACACGGGUCAAACCCCAUUUUGGGCAUAGAGUUUACUUAAACAAAAAAACAAACAACCUCAUUAGAAUGUGCUAUCUCAUUUUGAUUAAUAAAAUCAGUUUCUUUUAUGGUAUCAAUGAAUAUUAUUUAAGGUAUUCAACAUGUAAGUGUUUUGUACAGUUUUAUUACAUUUCAUAUCUUCAUUAUAAUUUAUUUAUAAAUAUAUUAUGCUUUUUUCUAAUAUGUUUAGAUUUUUAAACUUCAUCUUUUGUUUACUUUCUACAGAGAACAUUUCUAACAUACUGAAUUCUGUGUGUCGUGUACGUAUGUGUAUGUGUGUGUAUCCAUAUAUGUAUGCAUAACAACAUGUGUGCGUGUUUAUACGUGUGAAAGUGUGUAUUUGCAUGCAUAUAUUUUCAUAAAAACUCUGAUGAUUGUUGGAAUUUGUUCCAAGCAGUAGUAAAGUCUAACUUUUAUGAUCCUUAAGACUAUGACUCAUAAAUUAAUUUGCUAUUCAGUCUGCUCUACAGAAAUCACAGAGAAAUUUGCAUGAUUAGUAUAGUUGCUUCACAGCACUUCUGUGCAUGUAAUAGGGAGUUGGAAGGAGCUCACUGAAUCAUCUACCUCUGUGGAGGUAGAUCUACCAAUGUGAUUGAGUGGAAAUUGCUGAAGUAUAAUUAAGUCUCUCUUGAAAAUAUCUGUAAUCUGUUGUUCAUAGGGAGACAGUUUUCUCUUGUGAAGUUAGAGAAGACAUUUGGAAAAGUUAACAUCCCACUUGAGAGGUUCAGAUAGGAGAAAAAUUAAGGGUUUCAGCGUUUUUUGGGCUCAAAUAUGUUUGCUUAGGAUUCUUGCUCCCUCUCCCUCUGCAUACUUCCUCUCAAAAAAAAAAAAAUCUAAUGUUAUUUUAAGGUUCAUCCUGUAUUUCUCUCAUUUCAAUUUAUUGAAUGAACAAAAUGUAAUGCCUUGAAUUUCCAUGUUGCAUUGUCUUAUAUCUUAUUCCCAAAUCACUUAUUAUUUUCAGUUAAUUUUUUCUAAAAUAUAUAUAUAAUAUUUUUAAAUAUAUAUACAUAUAUAUAUAUAAUUUAUAUAUAACUCUAGUGAUGAUUACUUUCUACCAUAAAAUAUUUUAUCACUUACUUGAAUUUCAUAUACCAUAAAUUAGAAUGAAACCUAGAUUAUACAUAAUUUUUAUAGUUGGUCUCAUUGAGAAACAAAUGUGAUAGAAUUAUUUACGUUGCUAUCCAAAUGUGGACCUUUAGUAUAUAAACCCAAUAGAAAAUUAUUCAGCAUUUUAUUAAGACCCUUGAAUGGUCAUUGACAGGUAAUAUAUAUCUAUAUAAUAUUUACAUGAAAAUGAUAAAUUAGCACAAACUUAUAAAUCAAUUUAUAAUAUUGUAUUCAGUUGACCCUUAAACCAUGGUUUUUGAACUGCAUAGGUCUAUUUAUGUGUAGAUUUUUUAUAGUACAGUACUGCAAAUGUAUUUUUCUUAUGGUUUUCUUAAUAACAUUUUCUUCUAGGUUUAUUGUAAGAAUAAAUUAUAUAAUAUGUAUGAAGAUGUAAAACAGUACAUAAUACAUAUAACAUACAAAAUAGGUGUUAAUAGACUUAUGGUUUUAGUAAGGCUUCUGGUCAACAUUAGUUGAGUUUUGGGAGAAUCAAAAGUUAUGGGGCACUGGGUAGCCCAGUUGGUUGAGGGUCUGACUCGAUUUUGGCCCCAGGUCGUUAUCUCUCAGUCACGAGAUCAAGCCUCACAUGGGGCUCCAUGCUGGCCAUGGAGCCUGCUUAAGAUUCUCUUUCUCCCUCUGCCCCUCCCCCAUUCAUGCAUUCUCUUUCUCUCUCCCUCUCUCUCUCAAAAAAAAAAAGUUAUACAUGCAUUUUCAACUGCACAGCGGGUUGACAGCCCAAAUACCCAUGUUGUUCAAGGGUCACCUGUAGUAACAGUUUGGGGGCAAAAGAUACGAAACUGUUUUUGUUUAAUGAAGAGUUAUAUUGCUUUUGAGAUCACCAAGGAAGCACACUGGAUAACUUCAGAAUAACAGCAACAACAAAAGGAUAUUAACUUAAACAUGCCAAUAAUGUAAUGUAAUUCUCUAUAAUUAAAUUACAAGCAGUUACAAUUUCUAAUGUAAAUUUUUAUUUUGGAAUAAAUUUAUAUGUGCAGAUAAGUAGCAAAGAUAAUACAGAAACUUCCUAUAUACCUUCUCACUGAGUGUAUCCACAUAUUAAUGUUGUACAUUACCAAGAUACUUCUUUCUAUUUGUUUAUAUAAUCCCUACCCCCAAUGUGGGGCUCAAACUCAUGACCCUGAGAUCAAGAGUCCCAUGCUCUACUGACUGAGCCAGGCAGGCACCCCCAUGACACCGUUGACAAAACUGAGGACCAGCGUUGGUGCAGCACUGUUAAUUUGCUUCACGCUUUAUUUGCAUUUCACCAGUUGUAACAAUAUAUUUUCAUGUUCCAGGAUCCAUUUCAGAAUACCACAUUUUCUUUAGUCAUCAUAUCUCCUCAGUGUCCCUUGUGCUGUGUCAGUAUUUUAACCCUUCCUAGUUUUUCAUGGUUUUAGUGAGUUAGGGGAAGUCUGGUCAGGUGUUAUUUUUGCAUGUCACUAAAGUUGAGUUUGUCUGAUUAUUUUUUAAUGAUUAGAAUAUGUUCGUAGAUUUUUAGAAGAAUAUCCCAAUCUCCUAUCAUAUCAUAUCAGAGAUUCAGGAAAUAAUCUUGAUGUAUCACUGGUGCUGUUAACCAUGAUCCCUUGGUUCAGCUGAUGCUUGCCAGGUAUCUUCAUGAAAUUACUGUGUUCCCAUUUCCAUACUUGUUUAGAAGUCACUGAGUUCAUCCCAAAACAAAACCAAGGGGAGUUAAAUUAAUGCCUUUCUCCUGAAAGGAGGCAUAUAUAUGUAUAUGUAUAUGUAUAUAUCUGUGUGUGUAUGAAAAUAUAUGUAUAUUCUCUUUAGCAUUUUUCUGCCAGGAAGAUUUGUCCCUUCCUCAUUUAUUUGUUUAUUCAAUUAUUUAUUCAUGUCAGCAUGAACUCAUGUAUGUUAACUUACAGUAGGUAUUAUAAUCCAGUAUGAUGCUAUUUAUUUUAUCGCUCAAAUUAUUCCAGCUUUGGGCAUCAGGAGUCCUUAAAGGUUUUCUUUCAUGUGGCUUUGAUAUGUUCCAAUUUUUUUUGGGGGGGGGGGUUGGGAAGUUUCCAUUUUUAUACCAGUAUAAGAUGCUCCAGACUCUCAGGUCUGUCCCAGACCUAGAAUCAUGUAUUUCCCCAAAGAGGGUUUUUUUUUUUUUUAAUGUUUAUUUUUGAGAGAGAAGGAGAGAGAGCACGCACACAAGCACGAGCAGGGGAGGGGCAGAAGAGAGGGGGACAGAGGGUCUGAAGUGGACUCUGUGCUGACAGUGUGGAACCCGAUGCAGGGCUCGAACCCACAAACUACAACAUCAUGACCUGAGCUGAAGUCAGAUGCUCAACCGACUGAGCUGCCCAGGCACCCUCCCCAAUGAGUUUUUUAUUAGCUAUUUAAAGAUGUGAGGAAAUACAAGUACCUAAAGGAGAGAGAUCAAAGUCCUGUGGCAGCACAAAGUCCAAGAAGACACAGGCAUGCACAUACAACCCAAGGGAUGAUGAACACAACCUGGUCCGUUAGUGCAGUUUUAAUCUGCUUUAUUACUUAACACCGAUCAUGACUUACCUUGUGUACAAGACAACACAACUCACAGACGUGUGGAUGGCACUGCCGUCAAAGGCUUCCUUCUGUUCCCAUCUGUCCUCUCUUGUGGUCCUUUUGCUCAUUUCAAACACAGUUGUGAAGACACCUUCAUGCUCAGCUAGAAUAAUUCCUGAUGCCGCCCCGUGAGAGAUGCCCAAAGGAGAUGCGUGUCGUUGUUCUAAAGCUCUGCCAUUUGGACCAAGUGUCUCCAGAGAGUGAACCUGGUUGCGGCAGGACACUUGAGUGCAUUGUCUUGACUCAGACCUGGCUGUAGGGACCUGGGCUGGAGGGAGACGCCACUCACCCGCUCCAGGCCUUCAGACCACGGAUCACCCUGUGAUGCCAUGGACUGGGGAGGAAGCUGUGGACUGGGGAGUUUCUGGAGGACAGAAUUCUGGCCCUGAGUCCCCUUCACCCACUGUGCAGUCACCAUGGACUUCUGUCUACCCACACAUGUGUACUAAGCAAUGACACACCGCUCCCCAGCAAUAGACACACACACACACACACACACACACACACACCUCCCCUCUCAAGAAGAGGGGACACAGAGCCUGUGCUCUUAGAAAUUCCACCCAAACCCUCACAAGUGCCCCCAGCAAACCUGGCAUAUACCACACUCGGGCCCCGAGUCUCCUGCAGCAACCUAGGCUCAUGGAGCAGCCCUCAGAAUGCCACGUGCCUGCAUGCACACAGGAGUAAGGCAGAGCACACCCAACCCCAACUUGAAUCUGUGUCUAUGGCACUAGCAGUCCUAACACCAAACCUGUGCGGGCUCCCUACUCGUGUCCUUGCUGAGCCUUGUCCAGCACUGCCUCCUCCUUCCUUCUCUAACCCCUCUGCAGGAGGACAGUGAGUUAGAGGCCACCGCCAGCUGCCUGAAUCCUGGGCCUGCGGGAAUCCACAUGUCAACGAGCCCUAGGUGGUCAGGGCCUUGGGCCUGGCUGUGGUCGGCAAAUAUCUUUCUCAAUUGCAUGGGAUCUAGCUCUUUGACAUGUGAACAUCAAGGGAUAGCAUGCCCACUGCUCCGUUUCUGCAUGAAGGGUAGGAGCCUAAAUCCAGCAGGAAAAAGUUCCAUGGUGCAAAAAAAAUACUUCCUGUCCUAAAGAUGUGGGUUUACUGUAACUUGGAAUAGGCCAGUCAGCACACAGACAGUCACCCCAAAUAGCAAAUGCUGUCCAAUCCUCUUACUUGAGGCCUGUUAUUUACCUUAUCACACGAAUAUGAUAAGUAUAUGUAUCUGCUUGGCUAUCCAAAAAUGUGAGAUUUCUUUUGGUCUUUAAUCACUUAGUGAAUUGCCUGUAAUUGGCAUCACAUUCCAGUUUAAUGCUUAUUCUGUAAUAAAAGUGUUCUCUUUCUCUUCUG